UCAGAGUCUGAGUGGCUGACUACAUAUCUGUCUCAGGAACAAUAGCUACCUGUAUUCUGCACGGACUGUUGGGCAGGCACUAGCAAUAUGGAGAAGGUCUGCCUCUCUUAGAGGCUUUUCAGUGGGAAUCCCUAAUGACAGCCCUACUUCUCAUUGGGAGGGGGGAGGACUCUUGUCUACUUCGUUGAUGAGGGACAGAGCUUUGAUCAUUUUCAUUCAGCCUUGACUUGGCCUGAGGUUUAGGUUCCCAGUCCUGAAGUCAGCAGGCUCUCUUCUCACACAUGCACGCACACACAUUCACACACACCCCUUUGCUGGUCUGUGCAGGCAGAUUAGUGUCACGGCUGUAACUGAGGCACAGAGCAAUAAACAUAGCAGAACCAAUCUCCAUGGUGGCAAGAGGGGGCACUGGAGGUGACAACAAUGGAGAAGGAUCUUUCUUCUGACAAGUUUUAGAUGCUGGGGGCUCGCUGAGCCGUCACUGACCCUCUGCAGCAAGACUGUGCCGAGCAGGAGGGCUGCAGUGAGCCUCUUCCUGCAUCCUGCAGGAGCCUGGCACUGAGCGUGGCAAAACUCUCUGGGGGGUAACACAGUGGAUGAUUGAUUGUACCCGCCAGCUGGCUAAUAUCAUAAUUAACAAAGUUGCUACCAUGUCUGAGAAGUUUAAUCGAAAAAAUUGCCGGCAGUAUGAUGCCAUUGUCACAGAGAUCACAAGCACUGCAGUGUCAACUUUUGUACUGAUGGAGCCGCAGGACUAUGUAGAUGUGCUGAGAAGUCGUUCACUGGGAUCACUAAAGCAAGAUGUGAUUGCAGACGGCGCACAACUGGGCUCUGGUAGAACUGGCCAGUAGCAACAGCCUUUGCUCUGCUCGUCACCACCGGAGCAGCUGUGCCAUGGGAACACAGAAUUUGGGAGCAGCUGCCUGCGAUGAGUCCUCACAUGCAGGAAUGUCAGCAGGAAUGCACGGAAGCCCAUCAGCAAGGUUUAGCUGGGGGAUCACAUUGUGAAAUGUGCAGCCAUGAAAGGCCUUCCAUUUACUGCACCCUUCAAAACGAAAUAUUAGCAUGGGAGCUAAGCUGUGACUUAUGCAGGGUAUGUUGGAGUAGUGACUUCAAGUUACGGUUCACAAGUAACUUCAGGACAGCAUGAGGAGAGCUGUCAAUAAGAAAUGGAGGCUAAUAACGAAGGAGUCAGUGAAGGAGACCAAUGCCAUGAGGGUUAUCUCGCAGCCCCAGAUGCUGGAUAAGUUGAAGGAGGCAGAAUCACUUUUGGAUGACAUUCAGGAAGGCCUUGAAUGAUUAUUUGGCAAAGAAAAGACUAUUCUUUCCAAGGAUUUUUCUCCGGAUGCAACAGCGAUCUCUCAGGAAUCCUUUCUGAGAUAAAGGAUCCACUCCAAGUCCAACCACACCUAAGGAAAUGCUUUGAAGGAAUUGCCAAGCUCACUUUUAAUCACGAGAAAGAAAUUACCCACAUGGAGUCAGCAGAAAAUGAAAAAGUAGAGCUCGUGCUGCGAAUAAUUCCAGCAAGUGCCAAGGGGCUAGUUGAGAAAUGGCUUCAUGAGGUGAAUAUCUUUAGCUCUUACUUAGGGUUUAGUUACUGUAUAAUCAUUUUCUCUUUUAGGAGCAAUGAAUAUCAUAAGCGUAUUUCCUAACUAAAUGGCUCUGUGAAUAUUUGUCAAGAUGUUGACAGAUUUCAGCCUUAUUGUUGUUAUUUAUUGCAACUAAUUUAGCAUCUGCAAACCUGCAGAAAUUAAUUCUAAUAAAAAGCUCUUAGAAUCAGGUUGUCAACAGAAGUGGGUCUGUGUCUGAAACCAUAUAUGUGAAUAUAUGUUUGAGUCUACAUGUAUGUGUUUUUGUGCUUUUAUGGUGUAAUGUCUGCAGUUCAGGAGGAUAACAUUUAAAAAAUCAGAGACAUGUAAAAUUUUAAAUGCCUCCCACCCUGCUGAAAGUGUGUCCCAUUGUCCUGGAGGGGUUUAAUUUCCCAUCAUUUUAACAAAAGGGAAGAGAAAUUAUGUCAUUGAUACCACCCUAACCUUUCCCCUUUGGAUCUCUCAUCCGAAUUCAUUGGUUUCAGUAUGAAAUUAGUUUGGUGACCUUCUUUUUGUUUGCUUUGUUUAACCUUCCUCUGCCAGUAGAUGGGAAAGGGCCCUUCCCUACUUUAUUUUUCUGGGCCAAACCCCUAUUUCCCUUCCCAUGUGCUUCCUUUUCUCCUGAGGCAGGAUCAGCCCCAGGAGCACCACUUCCCCUUCGUCCGCUGUUGUGGGUGCUGAUUGUGUUCUCAGCGGCUUGUCCCUGGGUGCCCCCUGCACAAAGGCAAGUGGCAGGGAUCAGCACACAGCUCUAGUGGGAGAGGGAAGGGGGAGCUGGGAACCGCUAUUUUAUACCCUGCCAAUUCAGCAGAAGCUGGGAGGAGUCCCUGGGCAGCAAAACCCAGAGCAGGUGGUGGGUCAAAAGGGU